GUUCACGAGGCUGAGUCCUCCCCCUGGGAGAGGGGCUGCCAGGGACCGCGGGCUUCAGGACUGCCUUUCAGAGACCAAGAAACAACUUGGGGAAAUGGAGGUGAAGUAAGUCAAGACAGAGAAGUCCAGGUUGGGGUAAAACGUAAGGGCCAGAUGACCUCUAUUUGGCCGAAAAGAAAGGCACACAGAUCUACCAGGAGCUUGAAGAAGAGUUACAGAACAUUCCUUUAGUAGAGGAGAGACUUGAGCAAAUUCCAACCUAAGGAAAAAGCACCCAGCAUUUCAGCACCAAAACCAGUCUUAAAUCGGUGCCAAAUGAAUUCACCAGCCACCAGGCAGAGAAGUUGUGACAGUUUUUUCCUGUGCAGUUCCCUAUUCAUUUGCUUCUUAAUGCAACUGAAAUAUUUGAAAGAGCAGUAUCAUGCAGUUCAAUUCUGCAUACUUUGGGUUCCUAUUUGUUUCUG